UACGUAGGGUGCAAGCGUUGUCCGGAAUUAUUGGGCGUAAAGAGCUCGUAGGCGGUCUGUCACGUCGGCUGUGAAAACCCGAGGCUCAACCUCGGGCCUGCAGUCGAUACGGGCAAACUAGAGUACUGCAGGGGAGACUGGAAUUCCUGGUGUAGCGGUGAAAUGCGCAAAUAUCAGGAGGAACACCGGUGGCGAAGGCGGGUCUCUGGGCAGUAACUGACGCUGAGGAGCGAAAGCGUGGGGAGCGAACAGG
rnacentral:rRNA from 1 species